rnacentral:lncRNA from 1 species
GGAGAUCUGCCUGGGCAUCAAGCAGAGAAGGCCUCAAUCCACCACUAUCUCUGCACAGGAAGGGUUAGGAAACUCAGGCUGCUGGUCCGGGCAAGCAGUUGCUCCAAAUGCAUGGAGUUCUGCCUGGAUGUGGAGUGAAGAGGCCCCCCUGCAUCAGGAUCUCUACACAGGAAGGAUGGCCGUAGCUCAGGCUGCUGAACCAGAACAGAAAUUGUCUUGUCAUUCUGUGUCCCUUGGGACUCCUAUUAUUACUGGCAGAUGGCAAACAGAAUGCAAAAGAAGUCCAUAUCUAGAGAAAUCCUGGUGGAAUUUUUCAAACUUCUAUGACAAAAAAAAGUCCGAUGAGUUUCUAGAUUUUAAAAAGUACUAAAUUACUUUUUAAAAAAUCAACUUUACAAACAACAUGAAAACAGAAUGUUUAAGAGGA